rnacentral:rRNA from 1 species
GAUGAACGCUGGCGGCGUGCCUAAUACAUGCAAGUCGAGCGAACGGACGAGAAGCUUGCUUUUCUGAUGUUAGCGGCGGACGGGUGAGUAACACGUGGAUAACCUACCUAUAAGACUGGGAUAACUUCGUGAAACCGGAGCUACUACCGGAUAAUAUUUUGCACCGCAUGGUUCAAAAGUGAAAGACGGUCUUGCUUUCACUAAUAGAUUGCUCCGCACUGCAUUAGCAAGUUGGUAAGGUAACGGCUUACCAAGGCUACGAUGCAUAGCCGACCUGAGAGGGAGGACCGCCACCCGGGAACUGAGACACGGUCCAGACUCCUACGGGGAGAAGCAGUAGGGAAUCUUACGCGAGGGGGGAAAGCCGGACGGAGGAACGCCGGGGGAAGGAUGAAGGUGUUCGGAUGGGAAAGCUCUGUUAGUAGGGAAGAACAUAUGUGUAAGUAACUGGGAACAUCAUGACGGUACCGAGACAGAAAGCCACGGCUAACUACGUG